rnacentral:rRNA from 1 species
UCAAGCGACUGUUUAACAAAAACACAGGUCUCUGCUAACGCGAAAGCGGAUGUAUAGGGGCUGACUCCUGCCCAGUGCCAGAAGGUUAAGUGAAAAGGUGUAACAGCUUUGAAAUGAAGCCCUGGUGAACGGCGGCCGUAACUCUAACGGUCAACCGAACGGUCCAACCAGGCCUUGGGCGCAAGCCCUCGGCUCGGAGGCUGUUUAAGGCCGUUGUAAAAUCUGGCUAUAUGCUGGGAAACCCGAGUAUCCGGCGCUACCCGUUGAUCGAAUCUGGGUCAAUUGGUGACAAUGCGUCCGGUGCGGACAAUCAGCAGGAAAGACCGUGAAGGAAAUCCCUGCGCCACGUUCCGGACACUGUCAAGGAAUGGUCCAUGGACGGGGUGGAACUUCAAGGAAUCCUCAGAGACCAUACGCCAGACCCGCUGUCGGAACGUGCGGGAAGAUAUGGUCCGAUCUGUGUGGCGACAUGCAGAGGGCGGCAGAAAUGACCGUCCCCUCCGGUACUCAGCCAAACAGGCAACUGUCUGACCGGGAAUCGGGGAGUAACAAAUUGCCUAAGGUAGCGAAGUCCCUUGUCGGGUAAGUUCCGACCCGCAUGAAUGGUUGAACGACUUGGCCAUUGUCUCGGCGGAGGGCUCGGUGAAAUUGCGGUGCCCGUGAAGACGCGGGCGACCUGCGGCAGGACAAAAAGACCCUGUGGAGCUUUACUGUAGCCUGGUAUUGGGCUGGGAGCCGUCAUGUGUAGGAUAGGUGGGAGGCUAUGAUGCCCCGACGCCAGUCGGGGCGGAGCCGCCGUUGAAAUACCACCCUUGGCUGUUUUUGGUCCUAACCUCAGCGCAACUGAGGGACAGUGCCUGGUGGGCAGUUUAACUGGGGCGGUUGCCUCCUAAAAUGUAACGGAGGCGUCCAAAGGUUCCCUCAGGACGGAUGGAAAUCGUCCAUAGAACGCAUUGGCAUAAGGGAGCUUGACUGCGAGACGGACAUGUCGAGCAGGGACGAAAGUCGGCCAAAGUGAUCCCACGGCUCCGUGUGGAAGGGCCGUGGCUUAACGGAUAAAAGCUACCCCGGGGAUAACAGGCUUAUCUCGCCCAAGAGUUCACAUCGACGGCGAGGUUUGGCACCUCGAUGUCGGCUCGUCCCAUCCUGGGGCUGAAGACGGUCCCAAGGGUCCGGCUGUUCGCCGGUUAAAGGGGUACGUGAGCUGGGUUCAGAACGUCGUGAGACAGUUCGGUCUCUAUCCGCCGUGGGCGCAGGAGGCUUGAGGGAACCUCUCCCUAGUACGAGAGGACCGGGAGGGACAGACCUAUGGUGUUCCAGUUGUUCCGCCAGGAGCAGCGCUGGGUAGCCAUGUCUGGCAGUGAUAAGCGCUGAAGGCAUCUAAGCGCGAAGCAUCCCCCAAGAUGAGGCCUCCCUCCCCGAUUAACUUCGGGGGUAAGACUGCAGAGAGACUAUCUGCUUGAUAGGCCGGAUGUGUAAGGAGUGUAAGCUCUUCAGCAAACCGGUACUAACCAGUCGAGAGGCUUGACCCA